GACGAACGCUGGCGGCGUGCUUAACACAUGCAAGUCGAACGAAGUGGCGUACGGGUGAGUAACGCGUAAUCAACCUGCCCUUCAGAGGGGGACAACAGUUGGAAACGACUGCUAAUACCGCAUACUGAAUGAGGGUAUUGCGUCUGAUUAGCUAGUUGGAGGGGUAACGGUCCACCAAGGCGAUGAAUAGUAGCCGGGCUGAGAGGAUGAACGGCCACAUUGGGACUGAGACACGGCCCAGACUCCUAAGGGAGGCAGCAGUGGGGAAUAUUGCGCAAUAGACGAAAGUCUGACGAAGCAACGGCGCGUGAGUGAUGACGGCCUGCGGGUUGUAAAGCUCUGUUAAUCGGGACGCGGUACCGGAAUAGAAAGCAACGGCUAACUACGUGCCAGCCGCCGCGGUAAUAG
rnacentral:rRNA from 1 species